CAUUAGUUAGUUGGUGAGGUAACGGCUCACCAAGACAACGAUGGAUAGGGGAACUGAGAGGUUUGUCCCCCACACUGGAACUGAGACACGGUCCAGACUCCUACGGGAGGCAGCAGUGAGGAAUAUUGGUCAAUGGAGGCAACUCUGAACCAGCCAAGUCGCGUGAAGGAUGACGGCCCUACGGGUUGUAAACUUCUUUUUUAAGGGAAUAAAGUGAGCCACGUGUGGCUUUUUGCAUGUACCUUACGAAUAAGGAUCGGCUAACUCCGUGCCAGCAGCCGCGGUAAUACGGAGGAUCCGAGCGUUAUCCGGAUUUAUUGGGUUUAAAGGGUGCGCAGGCGGAAUAUUAAGUCGGCGGUGAAAGUUUGCAGCUUAACUGUAAAAUUGCCGUUGAUACUGGUAUUCUUGAGUGUACAUGAAGUAGGCGGAAUUUGUAGUGUAGCGGUGAAAUGCAUAGAUAUUACAAGGAACUCCGAUUGCGAAGGCAGCUUACUAAAUUACAACUGACGCUUAGGCACGAAGGCGUGGGUAUCAAACAGGAUUAGAUACCCUGGUAGUCCACGCAGUAAACGAUGAUUACUCGCUGUUUGCGAUACACAGUAAGCGGCUUAGCGGAAGCGUUAAGUAAUCCACCUGGGGAGUACGUUCGCAAGAAUGAAACUCAAAGGAAUUGACGGGGGCCCGCACAAGCGGAGGAACAUGUGGUUUAAUUCGAUGAUACGCGAGGAACCUUACCCGGGCUUGAAAAUGCUAUGACCGGCCCAGAGACGAGCCUUCCCUUCGGGGCAAAUAGUGUAGUGCCUG
rnacentral:rRNA from 1 species